GUUGACUAAGAGGGAUGCUCCAAACCGGCGGAUCUGGAGAUUUGACUUGGUCUGUAGAUCUCGCGGUGGAAAUAAGGAGAUGCAUGAUAAUAGGGAGUAUACUAGCGCGCGAGAUUAAUGGAAAAGGGUCAUCCUGUUGGUGACAAGUGUCCAUGGUGGAGACACUUGUCACCACCGCCCCUAAGCCCAUAGUGGAGACUUAAAACUACUGACCCAAAGAAUUGAAAUCAUUUCAAGAAAAAAUUCUCUCUCUUCACUCCCAAACGCAGUAUGCUCUGCAAGUUCUCUCACCCUUUAUGAGAAACCUUCACCAGAGAAGAUGGUGGUUUCCAGCCACCUGAGGAGGCGUCACCUUCUUCUUCGGCAUACCAACCCAAAACCAAAAACGUUAAACACUAACCCUCCUUCUUUUUUCCUCCUCGAUCCGAAUCUGAAAACCUUUUCUUCCAAAUCCUCCAUAUAUGACCGGGUCGACCUCCCCAACUCAAAACUCAAAUUCUCUCCCUAAACCCAAAGUCAAAUUCCCUCUUACAUACGAACCCAGAACUAUCAAUCCCCAAAAUGACAAUAGAAAAAGCCAUAAACCACAAAUACGAAACCAAACCCUAAAUUAAAAUUAGCCACCAAUGUUAAUGAUUUCAAAAACACAAGGGGUUUAUGCUCAACUAUAUGUGACGAAGACAAUGGUGACCGAAAAUUAAAGAGAUAAUGAAGACUCACCAGAUCGGAGCUAGUCCGACAAUCUUUUCGGCAAGGUCUUGCUGAGAGAAAAUGAAGGACAUGGUAAAUGAAGGACAUGGUAAAUCAAGGACAUGGUAGGAGUGUGGAAAGCAUAGGCACGUGGGGACCGUUCAAAGACGUCGAAUCCUCUUUCACUUUUUUGUACUUUUUUUUUGUAUUAGACAUCAUGGAACAAUACUUUGUAUUAGUAAAAUAUUUUAUCCAUGUAGUGUGCAAACUUCUAUCUAACGAAGUACUUAUUUUAAUUGCAAGUUGAUCACUCCAUCUUAUUACAAAUGAAA